rnacentral:ncRNA from 1 species
GUGAACUGCGAGACCUAUGAGUCGCCAAUCCUCCGGCGGGUCACGAUGAAGCGCCAGGUCCAGCCGGGUCAUACUUCCGGCCGGGUCAUACCGCGGGGUAUAUCCCUGACAAGCUCUUUCUUGAUUCUAUGGGUGGUGGUGCAUGGCCGUUCUUCGUUGGUGGAGUGAUUUUUCUAGUUAAUUCCGUGAACGAACGAGACCUUAGCCUGCUAACUAGCUAUGCGGAGCCAUCCCUCCGCAGCUAGAUUCCUAGAGGGACUAUCGCCGUUUAGGCGACGGAUGUUUGAGGCAAUAACAGGUCUGUGAUGCCCUUAGAUGUUCUGAGCCACACGUGCGCUACACUAAUGUAUUGAACGAGUAUAUAGCCUUGGCCGACAGGCCCGGGUAAUCUUCGGAAAUUUCAUCGUGAUGGGUAUAGAUCAUUGCAAUUGUUGGUCUUCAACGAGGAAUGCCUAGUAAGGGCGAGUCAUCAGCUCGCGUUGACUAUGUCCCUGCCCUUUGUACACACCGCCCGUCACUCCUACCGAUUGAAUGGUCCGGUAAAGUGUUCGGAUCACGGCGAAGGGGGCGGUUCGCCGCCCCCGACGUCGCGAGAAGUCCAUUGAACCUUAUCAUUUAGAGGAAGGAGAAGUCGUAACAAGGUUUCCAUAGGUGAACCUGCGGAAG